CAUAGCCUUUUUGUCAUCAUAAAAGGUAAAGCCUGCCCGGUGUAAUCUUAUAAACGGCUGUUAUAACAUUAAAGUAGCGUAAUAAUUUGUUCCUUCAUUGGGGACUUGUAUGAAAGGCAGAACGGAAAUUUACUGUUUCUUUCGAAUUCUAAAAAAUUUCUAUUUAAGUGAAAAAGCUUAAAUCCACUAAAAGGACGAGAAGACCCUAUAGAAUUUAAUAGCAUAAGGUUUUUUAUAAAUUUAUCUAUUUUGUUGGGGCAACAGGGGAGAAAAAACUUCCAGUCUAUACAAUUUAAAAUCAUAAAUAAAAUUUAUUGAUCCUAAAAUAGAACAAAGAAAAAUUACCUUAGGGAUAACAGCGUAAUAUCUCCCAGAGAGACCUAAUUGAAGGGAGAGUUUGCGACCUCGAUGUUGGACUAAGAUAGCUUUCAAAUGCAGCAGUUUGAAAUAGUAAGCCUGUCCGGCUUUUAAAAU
rnacentral:rRNA from 1 species